rnacentral:rRNA from 1 species
AUGGGUGCCAAGUCACGCUGCUGCUACGUGCAGCUAGCGACGAUGGUGCUCACUUUCAAGAUCGAGGAACGAAGCUGGGCCGAACCUUCCUUCCGCUGUCCCUUUCUCCGGAUCUCUUGGCUGCUGGCUGUGGAGUGCAGGAGUACGUACGCAGCUGCUAGUGGCCUCCCUUUUUCUUUCUUGUUUCUUCUUUCUCUCUCUAGGAAAAAUAACGAGGGGGGCGUCCGUGUAGUUUCAUGCCUGCCAGCAUACACCAAAGGGUUGUUUACUUUAAAUAUUUUGAUUGACCGGCUCCGGUGA